rnacentral:rRNA from 1 species
UGCUUCUUGAUUUCAUAUAAGAAGUAAUCUCCUGCCCAGUGACACAUGUUAAACGGCCGCGGUAUCCUAACCGUGCAAAGGUAGCAUAAUAACUUGCCCAUUAAUUGUGGGCUAGAAUGAACGGGGUAACGAAAUAAGUUCUGUCUCAAUAAUUCAUAUAAAAACUAUUAUCCAAGUGAAGAAACUUAGAUUUAAAUAAAGGACAAGAAGACCCUAUAGAGCUUUAUUUUACUUAAAUAGAUUAUUUAAUAAAAUUCGGUUGGGGCGACCAAGGAAAAAUCAUCCUUAAUUUACAUGAUAAACAAAUCUUAUAAUAGAUCCUUUUAAAGAUCAAAGGAAUAAGCUACCUUAGGGAUAACAGGCUAAUCCUAUUAUAGAGCUCCUAUCAACAAUAGGGAUUGGCACCUCGAUGUUGGCUUAGAAUAUCUAUAUGGCGCAGAAGUCAUAGACAGAGGGUUUGUUCAACCCAUAACAUUC